rnacentral:rRNA from 1 species
AUACUUCUUCGGACAAUAUACAAGGUGCUGCAGUGGUUGUCGUCAGCUCGUGCCGUGAGGUGUCGGGUUAACGUCCCAUAACGAGCGCAACCCCUAUCAUUAGUUGCCAUCAGGUCAAGCUGGGGACUCUAAUGAAACUGCCUACGCAAGUAGUGAGGAAGGUGGGGAUGACGUCAAAUCAGCACGGCCCUUACGUCCAGGGCUACACACGUGCUACAAUGGCCGGUACAAAGGGCAGCUACCUGGUGACAGGAUGCUAAUCUCAAAAGCCGGUCUCAGUUCGGAUCGGAGUCUGCAACCCGACUCCGUGAAGUUGGAUUCGCUAGUAAUCGCGCAUCAGCCAUGGCGCGGUGAAUACGUUCCCGGGCCUU